rnacentral:rRNA from 1 species
CCCUUAGAUGUUCUGGGCAGCACGCGCGCUACAAUGGUCUUCGCAAACGGAUGCAUUCUCGAAGGAGAAUGCCAAUCUUGGAAUCUAUGCCUUGGUCGGGACAGUUGCUUGCAAUUUUUCGACUCGAACCAGGAAUUCCUUGUAAUCGUGAUUCAUCACAUCACGAUGAAUACGUCCCUGCCCUUUGUACACACCGCCCGUCGCUCCUACCGAUCUAAGAGUUAGGUGAAUUGUUUUGAUCGAUAAGAUUUGACUAUGGUCAACUCUCGUUGUGAAAUUCUGUGAAUCUGACUGUUUAGAGGAAGGAAAAGUCGUAACA